UAGCUCAGUCAGUUAGAGUGUGGUGCUGAUAACACCAAGGUCGCGGGUUCGAUCCCCGU
rnacentral:tRNA from 1 species